UUCUUGAGAGUGGCGCACGGGUGCGUAACACGUAUGUAACCUACCUUAAUCAGGGGGAUAGCCUCUCGAAAGAGAGAUUAAGACCGCAUAACAUUGCACUAUGGCAUCAUAGAACAAUCAAAUAUUUAUAGGAUUAAGAUGGGCAUGCGGAACAUUAGCUAGUUGGUAAGGUAAUGGCUUACCAAGGCUACGAUGUUUAGGGGAUCUGAGAGGAUGACCCCCCACACUGGUACUGAGACACGGACCAGACUCCUACGGGAGGCAGCAGUAAGGAAUAUUGGUCAAUGGGCGGAAGCCUGAACCAGCCAUGCCGCGUGCA
rnacentral:rRNA from 1 species